AGUGAACGCUGGCGGCAGGCCUAACACAUGCAAGUCGAACGGCAGCACAAGAGAGCUUGCUCUCUGGGUGGCGAGUGGCGGACGGGUGAGGAAUGCUUCGGAAUCUGCCCAUUUGUGGGGGAUAACCUCGGGAAACCGGGACUAAUACCGCAUACGACCUACGGGUGAAAGCAGGGGAUCUUCGGACCUUGCGCAGAUGGAUGAGCCGAUGCCGGAUUAGCUAGUUGGAGGGGUAAAGGCCCACCAAGGCGACGAUCCGUAGCUGGUCUGAGAGGAUGAUCAGCCACACUGGGACUGAGACACGGCCCAGACUCCUACGGGAGGCAGCAGUGGGGAAUAUUGGACAAUGGGCGCAAGCCUGAUCCAGCCAUGCCGCGUGUGUGAAGAAGGCCUUCGGGUUGUAAAGCACUUUUGUUGGGAAAGAAAAGCAGCCGGUUAAUACCCGGUUGUCAUGACGGUACCCAAAGAAUAAGCACCGGCUAACUUCGUG
rnacentral:rRNA from 1 species